AGCAGUAGCCACGGUAAUACGAAGGGGGCUAGCGUUGUUCGGAUUUACUGGGCGUAAAGCGCAGGUAGGCGGACUUUUAAGUCAGGGGUGAAAUCCCGGGGCUCAACCCCGGAACUGCCUUUGAUACUGGAAGUCUUGAGUAUGGUAGAGGUGAGUGGAAUUCCGAGUGUAGAGGUGAAAUUCGUAGAUAUUCGGAGGAACACCAGUGGCGAAGGCGGCUCACUGGACCAUUACUGACGCUGAGGUGCGAAAGCGUGGGGAGCAAACAGGAUUAGAUACCCCCGUAGUCCCUGUCUCUUAUAC
rnacentral:rRNA from 1 species